rnacentral:rRNA from 1 species
AACGAACGCUGGCGGCAGGCUUAACACAUGCAAGUCGAGCGCCCCGCAAGGGGAGCGGCAGACGGGUGAGUAACGCGUGGGAAUCUACCCAUCUCUACGGAAUAACGCAUGGAAACGUGUGCUAAUACCAUAUACGUCCUUCGGGAGAAAGAUUUAUCGGAGACGGAUGAGCCAGCGUUGGAUUAGCUAGUUGGUGAGGUAAAGGCCUACCAAGGCGACGAUCCAUAGCUGGUCUGAGAGGAUGAUCAGCCACACUGGUACUGAGACACGGCCCAGACUCCUACGGGAGGCAGCAGUGGGGCAUAUUGGACAAUGGGGGCAAUCCUCAUCCAGCCAUGCCGCGUGAGUGAAGAAGGCCCUAGGGUUGUAAAGCUCUUUCACCGGUGAAGAUAAUGACGGUAACCGGAGAAGAAGCCCCGGCUAACUUCGUGCCAGACGCCGCGGUAAAAC